rnacentral:rRNA from 1 species
CGAAGCGAAGCAGUGAUGUGAAGCAAAUCGCACCAAAGCCGGUCCCAGUUCGGAUAAGAGGCUGAAACUCGCCUCUUUGAAGUCGGAAUCGCUAGUAAUCGCAGAUCAGCAUGUUGCGGUGAAUACGUUCCCGGGUCUUGUACACACCGCCCGUCAAACCAUGAGAGUCACCAACACCCGAAGUCCGCUUUGGCGGCCUAAGGUGGGGGAGAUGAUUGGGGUUAAGUCGUAACAAGGUAAC